rnacentral:rRNA from 1 species
CAGCCGCCGCGGUAACACCAGCCCCUCGAGUGGUGGGGACUAUUAUUUGGCCUAAAGCGUCCGUAGCUGGCAGUAUCCGUCUCCCGGUAAAUCCGGCGUCCUAAGCGUCGGUUCUCGGGUGAUACCAUACAGCUAGAGGGUGGGAUAGGUGAGCGGUAUUUCUGGGGUAGGGGCGAAAUCCUUUGAUCCCAGGAGGACCACCAGUGGCGAAGGCUGCUCACUAGAACACGCCUGACGGUCAGGGACGAAAGCUGGGGCAGCGAACCGGAUUAGAUACCCGGGUAGUCCCAGCUGUAAACGAUGCUAGCUGGGUGUUGGGUCGGCCACGCGCCGCCCCAGUGCCGCAGGGAAGCCGUUAAGCUAGCCGCCUGGGGAGUACGGCCGCAAGGCUGAAACUUAAAGGAAUUGGCGGGGGAGCAC